rnacentral:lncRNA from 1 species
AGAUUCCUUCCUUCAUUCUGCCAAGAAUUGGCUGUUAAUUAUUAAUUCAACCGGGGAAGAGAAAUCUUUUCGUGAAGUUCUCAGUAGCUUUGAAGCAUAGUUUUUUCCUUGGAAUUGUUGCAUUUUCUCUUCGGACAGUUCUAGGCGUUCAGUACAAGAAUAUUAAUCUGCUCCAUCGAUAAAGCUUUCGAGAUGUUCCUUGAUACAUUGAUGAUUUUAGUUAAUAUCUUCAUGGUAGAAUCAUAACGAUCAUCUCCUGUCACUCAUUGGGAAAGUGUACGAAUAGUGGAAAUAACAAUUUUGCAGGGACAACAAGGAUUGCACGAGAAACUUCUCCGGGAGACUAAAGGGCCGUGGUUUUACUCCGUUUGAAUGCCUUGAUGGCACUCCUUAUGUUCUGUUAUGAUGAGUCAUUCAUAAAAGGUGGAAAUUCAAGGGACCGUGGUGGAUCCAUCCAUCCAUCGCUUCAUCUGGUUAUCAUCGUGCAUAAAAAGUCUACCAUUAACGUUCCUCAAAGAUUUAUGGAAAGGCUGCAAGCUCUUUCCUGAUGCGAUAUACGGUGGUGAAUUCGCUGUUAUUGUGGCUUUUUUGCUUCCUUCAAAGACUCAAUAGUGGUGUUCCUUUUGACACUGUGUGCGCUCCAAGUACUUUACCACGGUAAUAGCUUCCAGUCAUAAAUUUGGGUUCUCAGCUCCUUACGUUCUUCGAUCGGCCUUGACGUUUCCGCAGUGAGUCAGGUCUUGUAAUGGCCUUUUAGAAAAUGGUCGAUAAAUUCUUCCGCGCAGAUAUCAGCUGGUGGUUUAGAGUUUAUAUUGUUUGCACGGUAAGACAAUUUUUCCACGGUAGUCCAGUCAAUAAAGGUUUCAACUCCCGAAUUCUUCCAGUCAAAACCGAUUGACAUGGAAUUUGGGGUGGGGGUAUAGGGUGACAUAAGAGACAAGUUAUUUAGCGCCGAUGUGCGCCUCCCUCUAAGAAAAUCACGAUUUGUUCUUAUUGAUUUUUAUAUCAAAAUUUCAGGUGAUUACAUUUUUUCGAUCAUAGUUCUGUUAUUAUUUAUCGCACUGAUUUCUAUCAUGGUUUUAUGGUAAUGGCAAUGGUUUUUUGCGAAAAAAGCGUUGAAAACCAUGCAUUUAGCGAUGGAAAAACGAUAUGUUUGAGUAUCAAUAGCUAGCAAACUACUGCUUGUACGAACAAUUUUCGCAAAAAUUUUUUGCUAAGAAUUGGCCGUUUAAUCGAUUUCGAAAAAAAAGUUGAACAGCGAGCAGCUGACAAAGUGGUAAGAAUUGCAAAAAUCUACAAAUUUCACCGUUGUUACGACCACCAUAAUCAUGUCUCCCCGUCACAUGCAAGAGCAAGAUGUGGUACUAUGUACUAAUAUUGCGAAUAUCUCCAUUGGUCCGUAGCAUUGUACAGUUAUGAUGCUCCCUUGCCUGAACGGAAAUCUGUCAGUCAAGAUUUUGUCAAAAAUCGGCGCCUCGGCCUUGAGAGCGAAUGAAAUCAAACCGCACUGGUCAAACGGGAAGAAUAAAGAUAGGAGACUACAACUUUGAGA